UCCCAGGUGGCUCAGACGGUUAAGAAUCUGCCUGCGAUGCAGGAGACCCGGGUUCAACCCCUGGUUCAGGAA
rfam:TPA: Bos taurus chromosome 18, whole genome shotgun sequence.